rnacentral:rRNA from 1 species
UGGGGAAUAUUGCACAAUGGGUGCAAGCCUGAUGCAGCCAUGCCGCGUGUAUGAAGAAGGCCUUCGGGUUGUAAAGUACUUUCAGCGGGGAGGAAGGUGUUGUGGUUAAUAACCGCAGCAAUUGACGUUACCCGCAGAAGAAGCACCGGCUAACUCCGUGCCAGCAGCCGCGGUAAUACGGAGGGAGCAAGCGUUAAUCGGAAUUACUGGGCGUAAAGCGCACGCAGGCGGUCUGUCAAGUCGGAUGUGAAAUCCCCGGGCUCAACCUGGGAACUGCAUUCGAAACUGGCAGGCUAGAGUCUUGUAGAGGGGGGUAGAAUUCCAGGUGUAGCGGUGAAAUGCGUAGAGAUCUGGAGGAAUACCGGUGGCGAAGGCGGCCCCCUGGACAAAGACUGACGCUCAGGUGCGAAAGCGUGGGGAGCAAACA